AUUUUCUACAACAGAAUUUUGCCUGGAUCUCUCCUGCCUCAUGUACUAGCCAUGGAAAUGUCCUACUUCCUUCCCCCCAGGAGACUGUAAACAACUUCAGGAAUGAAAGGUCAGCCCUAGGUGAUCAUGCCGACAUCCUCAUAUGACCGGAAAAAACCAGGACAAGAAAUGUGUAAAUUGACACUGCCCUAGAUUUGCUAAGAAUGCACACUUAAACUCUGCAAGAUGAACGCAUUGGACAUCCUUCCCCCCAAGCAUUCUGGGGCAACACAAUGAAACGGAAAGCACACUGUGUUAGAAGUCUCAGGUCUGCACCUAACAUGGUCUGUGGCUGUCGAGAUGGAUGGAAAACAAAAAAACAUCAUCAGGGGGACCACAGAAAAUUUUUCCUUGAUGAAAGCUACUGAGACAGAACCAAAGUUUAAUUUGGACUUGAUAAGCCUGAAGCAUUUCCUGUAUUCUGGAGAGCUAUUCCUUCAGCCACUCUGGACUGGUACCAUUGUAAUUUGAUUAAAUGUUAUUUUAUUCAUAAGAAAUUAGAAAACAAAAGUAUAGGGAAAUGAUGAUG